rnacentral:lncRNA from 1 species
CAAUUAUGCACCAGCAUGGAUUUAAGGCCUUUCGAUCCAGGUUUCUGUCCUGUUCCUUGCUUUUGUGCCGUAUUUUUGGCACACAGAGCAGUAGUAUCCUUCCUCUGUAACUAUAAGUCAUUUGAAGUCUUGCUCAUAUUUGUCUUCACUUGCGUGUCUUUUCCGUUGUUUGGUUGAUUUUUGUUCAAUUUCCACAACUUCAACAUUACUAUCAAUUUUAUUUAACUUAUUUGGUCUAGUAUUUUCUUUAUCAUCAUCGUCAUCUGCCUUUUUUUUCCCCCGAUUGAUAAAUGAAAACAUUGAAAUUUGACGAUUGGACGCCAUCUUUGUCAAUGAAAACAAGGCGGGAUUAGUAUUCAAAUUUUAACGGUACGGAACCGAAAAAAAAACGGAUUUUGAAAAAAAAGCCGACCACCUCCUAAAAUUGAAAGGUGGUCGGCUUUCAAAAGAAGGUGGUCGGCACACCCGGCUUAAAUGCCGAAUGGAAAACACUGACUGACUUGAAAGAGAAAAAACUUUUCAUACAGUUAGAUUUAUUGACUACCAAAGUAUUUUUUAUGACAAUCACACAUAUCAAAGUAUUAAACAUAAGAUUAAACAAGCACUAUCAUUUAUUCUACCAUUAUGUAACAGAACUAUUGAGGUUUACAGCAAAUCCGAUGUAUAUUUCUUGCAUUUCUGACUUACAAAAUUUAUAUAGGUCAUAUUUUGGCAACAGAAAUUAUCUGAAGAAAACAAAAGAUUUUGUUGUUCAAUUCAAAGGUAAUAUUUAAAGAUUAUAAAAUAUAAGUUACAGUUAACCUUUAUAAAUCAGUAAUACAUAUAACGAAAUUUAAUUCACCAGUUUAUUGCAAGGAUGCAAAAAGAGUUUGUUUGACUCAAAUAGUUUCUAUAUUUAAUAUAGGUAGUCCUGUAUUUAUGGUUGUCGAACAACUGUGAAUUCUUUUACAAACUUCCACUUAAAUAGGUAAUCCUUUAAAACAAAAGAUGAAAUAGUGUUGCAAUAUUGUGAAAAAGUACUUCCAAAGACACAUAUAAUUAAUCUAUGUAUUUUUUGUAACCUAUUAUUAAGAUAUUCAUAUUUUAUUUCCUACAAAAACAAGUCCCUGAAUUGACUGGUUGACAAAUCGUUAGUGAGAUAGAGAGUGUGAAAUAUGGUGCUGAAGUUUUAUCAGAACUUUAUGUAUGUAUGUGUCUUAAUCUAUGCAAUUAGAUUAAUAAAGCUUAUUGAAAUUAUAA